ACAUUGGUGGUUCAGUGGUAGAAUUCUUGCCUUCCAUGUAGAAGACCUGGGUUGGAUCCCCAGCCAGAGCA
rnacentral:tRNA from 1 species